AGAGUUUGAUCCUGGCUCAGGACGAACGCUGGCGGCGUGCCUCAUACAUGCAAGUCGAGCGAAGCGAUUAGUGCUUGCACUAAUUGACUUAGCGGCGAACGGGUGAGUAACACGUGAGUAACCUGCCCUUCAGACCGGGAUAACAACGGGAAACUGUUGCUAAUACGGGAUACGAUCUAUAGAUAACAUUGUUUGUAGAUGAAAAGCUUUAGUGCUGAAGGAUGGACUCGCGUUCUAUUAGCUAGCUGGUAGGGUAAUGGCCUACCAGGGCGACGAUAGAUAGCCGGCCUGAGAGGGUGAACGGCCACAUAGGAACUGAGACACGGUCCUAACUCCUACGGGGGGCAGCAGUCGGGGAUAUUGCACAAUGGAGGAAACUCUGAUGCAGCGACGCCGCGUGAAUGAAGAAGGCCUUCGGGUCGUAAAGUUCUGAUGUGAGAGAAGAAGAUAGUGACGGUAUCUCACCAGCAAGCACCGGCUAACUACGUGCCAGCAGCCGCGGUAAUACGUAGGGUGCAAGCGUUGUCCGGAAUUACUGGGCGUAAAGGGAGCGUAGGUGGUUAUAUAAGUCUUUAGUAAAAGGCAUUGGCUCAACCAAUGUAGGCUAGAGAAACUAUAUAACUUGAGUACAGUAGAGGUAAGUGGAAUUCCUAGUGUAGCGGUGAAAUGCGUAGAUAUUAGGAGGAACACCAGUGGCGAAGGCGACUUACUGGGCUGUAACUGACACUGAGGCUCGAAAGCGUGGGGAGCAAACAGGAUUAGAUACCCUGGUAGUCCACGCCGUAAACGAUGAGUGCUAGGUGUCGGGGGUUUAGAUACCCUCGGUGCUGCAGUUAACGCAAUAAGCACUCCGCCUGGGGAGUACGGCCGCAAGGUUGAAACUCAAAGGAAUUGACGGGGGCCCGCACAAGCAGCGGAGCAUGUGGUUUAAUUCGAACAACGCGAAGAACCUUACCAAGUCUUGACAUCCUCUGAUCGCCUAAGAGAUUAGGAUUCCCUUCGGGGCAGAGUGACAGGUGGUGCACGGUUGUCGUCAGCUCGUGUCGUGAGAUGUUGGGUUAAGUCCCGCAACGAGCGCAACCCUUGUGUUUAGUUGCCAGCAUUAAGUUGGGGACUCUAGACAGACUGCCGGUGACAAACCGGAGGAAGGUGGGGAUGACGUCAAAUCAGCAUGCCCUUUAUGACUUGGGCUACACACGUGCUACAAUGGUCUGUACAAAGAGAAGCGAAGUCGCGAGGCCAAGCGGAUCUCAUAAAGCAGAUCUCAGUUCGGAUUGCAGGCUGAAACUCGCCUGCAUGAAGUUGGAGUUGCUAGUAUCGUAGGUCAGCAAUACUACGGUGAAUGCGUUCCCGGGCCUUGUACACACCGCCCGUCAUACCACGGGAGUUGAUAACACCCGAAGUCGGUGACCUAACCCUUAGGGGAAGGAGCUGCCGAAGGUGGGAUUAGCGACUGGGGUAAAGUCGUAACAAGGUA
rnacentral:rRNA from 1 species